rnacentral:rRNA from 1 species
GAGUUUGAUCUUGGCUCAGAUUGAACGCUGGCGGCAUGCCUUACACAUGCAAGUCGAAUGGCAGCAUGAUCUAGCUUGCUAGAUUGAUGGCGAGUGGCGAACGGGUGAGUAAUACAUCGGAACGUGCCCUGUAGUGGGGGAUAACUAGUCGAAAGAUUAGCUAAUACCGCAUACGACCUGAGGGUGAAAGUGGGGGACCGCAAGGCCUCAUGCUAUAGGAGCGGCCGAUGUCUGAUUAGCUAGUUGGUGGGGUAAAGGCCCACCAAGGCGACGAUCAGUAGCUGGUCUGAGAGGACGAUCAGCCACACUGGGACUGAGGCACGGCCCAGACUCCUACGGGAGGCAGCAGUGGGGAAUUUUGGACAAUGGGCGAAAGCCUGAUCCAGCAAUGCCGCGUGUGUGAAGAAGGCCU